AAACCGGUGGAUUACUGAGUCAAGCGCACCAACUAAACUGACUUUUUUGGGAUAUAAAGAAGGACUUUAUCGAACAAAAGGUCCAUUUGUUAUGUAGCUGGGACACUUGUGAUUGCAACCAGAUGAAGAUCUUGAAAGAAAGACCUUUGUGAAGACCAACUUACAGAAGAGGAGAGGCAAUAACAUCUUUUCAGUCUGGAAAAACACCAAGGCUUGAUGGGAUACCAGUAGAGCUGUCAGGCGGAACCGCAGACAGUUCCAGGAUCAGGGUCUGUCAGAAGAUAAUACAACAAUGCAGAUCAGCCCAACAGGCGACACUACCGCAUUAAAACAGUAAACGCAACAACUUGCCUCUCCACAUCUCUGCAUCAACUGUGUAAAACAACAGACAUGUCUGCGGAAUAAGAAGAGCGGUAAUAAGAAAAUGAUUUGGUAAAAACGAAUGAGCCUACCUAGAAUGCAAUGACUACAAACCUCCAUGAUGUUCGACUCUUCCACGAUGGCCAGAAGUGAGCCGCCGAUGUCUCGGUGAUAAGCUGUCGUUUCUGUGCCGACGUGCUCCAUAUGUUUCCUGUCCACGCCUCUACCUCGCUUGCUCCUAGACGGUGGGAACAGAUGCGAAGCCGGGGCACCUCGCCACCGGAAUGAAGAAACGGGAGAUGACGUGACAAGGCGCGGCAUGACGGCUGCGCCACAAGAGGGCUAAUCCAAAACACACAGACUUUCUCUCCAUGUGACCUCCACCAGGCAUACCCACCGUGGGGUUUUAAUUGACUACUGACGUAACCCCCAGG
rnacentral:lncRNA from 1 species